GGGGCUCCUGGUUGUGCCAGCCCAGCAUGGGCACCAGGCCGGUGAGGGCAGAGAGCAGCCAGCACAGACACACCGCCACCCAGGCCCUCGUCUGUGUCACGAUGAUGCUGUACCUGGGCGACAGGUUGUAAAGCAGAAAACGGUCUUCCCCUGCUGUCUUGGUGUUCCUGAUCUGGAGCUGCUGUCUGCUGACUUGGUCACUACAGAACGCAACCCUGGACGACAGCCAACAACGCCUCACAAACCGGCCUUAAAAUUCAGUCAAUUGGGCUGACAGGAACAUUUUAAUUCACUUAAAAGCCUUCGAUGUCCAGGACAUUGAUUUGCAUCUAGCUGGGCAGAGAUAUAGACUACAGCUCGCAGUCAGACUUCGAGAAAUUCAACAAGGAUACACUGACUGCCUUGGAAUCACUUUAAUACUAACUGUUUCCGAUUACAAAAAGUUUUAAUUUGGUUCAACUGAAGCGGAAAAGGUCCUUAGCGUGUGGAUUAAUUUGGAAUAACAUCAAUCUACAUCUCACUGGAAUUGUAAUUGAUUGUGGAAAGAGUAAAGCCCUGGAAAACAAACUAAUCAUUCUAUAAAAUCAGUUUGCCUGAUUUCUAAUUCAAUCACGCUCUGUUUGGGAGAGUCCUCUUUAAAGUGGACGGAAAUGUUGCCGAUACAAUUUUGAUGUGUUGGAGGCCAGAGGCCAAGUUAUGACGUCUCACCUGGUGGGAAUCUUGACCCUGAGGAAGCGGUCGAUGGCGAUGGCCAGCAGGGACAGGAUGGAGCUCUGUGUGAUGAUGAGGAUGAGGCAAGAGAGGAAGAGGCAGGUGUAGAACUGGGUCCUGAGCCCCAGGCUGACCACCACGGCCAGCGGGAUGACCAGGGCUCCCACGGCGAUGUCAGCCACAGCCAGAGACACGAUGAAGCAGAAGGUGGUGUCACGCAGGGCCCGGUUCACACACACCACCAGGACCACCAGGACGUUCCCAACAACCGAAGCCAGGGCGAUGGCCGUCUCCAUGGAGAUGUACAUCAGGUCCACAUGCUCACGAAGCUCAAUUCCAGGAGAGGAUGACAUUUUGAACUUGUGCUUCCUGAACGUCUGACCAGCUCCUUCGUUAGCAGGAGUUUGUGCUAUGAUUGCAGCAUGGUGUCCUUGUCCAGUUAGCUCAGCGAGUUUCCAAGUCAUUAAAAUGUCCCGUUCUCCUCGCGCUGAAGCACUGAAUGACUCCCUUAUCGCUGGAGAGAUCUGGAGAGAUGAGCCUCCUGCAUAUCCAUGAGCUCCAGACCACACUGACUGCAUUCUGCUGCUCUACUCUCCCUCUGUCAAUUUCUCCCUCCUCCAUCACGCUGUCUGUCUCUCCCUUACCAUCUCUCUAUCCCUCUGGCACCUUCUCUCUCUACCUCCCUCUCUUUCUCUCUCACACUCGCUGUCGAUUUGGAGACAAAAAUCAUAAAUCUAGAAGGAGGGACAUUGUUGUUACCCCCACAGUACAUAAGCAAGUGCCUCACAGUUAAGGUGUGUGUGUUUACGUCAGUGAGAGAGAGAGAGAGAGAGAGAGAAAUAGAAAAAGAGGGUACAUGAGGUCUGUCAGGCUGUACGCUUAUAAAAAAUCUGCAAUUUGGAUGUUUUGGCAAAAUCUCGACAAUAGCACUCAAGCUAAAAGGACAUCAACUGGAAGUGGGAGACAAGCUGUUUUUAUUUCUCUGUGACUCCCCCCCCCCACACACACACACAUACACACACACACACAUCCCUCCUAUCCCCUAUACACACUUUGCUGCAACAUCCAGAUAUUACAAAGC